CAUAGAGCUCUUUGUAUGAAACAGAUAAUGAACUACUUCUGUCUAGAGCGCCGAGAAAGAUGGACGUUUUGUAUGGAACUUGUUGAAAUAUUUCUAGUAAUUCUACUAGGUGCUGUGCUGAUCAGUUCUGCCUAUAAAUAAUUUGAAAUCCUUCAGAGUCUAAUUGGGACUAUUACAUUUACUAUAAUGUAAAGAACCAGACCGACAAAAGAAGAACCAGGAACUCUGGGAACUAAUUAGAAAAAAGCCAGCCAUAGCGAAAACAGCAAUCCAAUUAGACAAAAUCUCGAUAGAGAUAAAUUUGUCGAUAUCGAUAUUCCAAUUACCCCACACUAGAGGUCGCUAACGGCAAAAUGUGCGCCGGCGCACUAGAGAUAAAUCUUUUUACUGCACACUUCGAUUAGAAAAUUCCUUUAUUAAUUGACUGGCUUAAUUAAACCAAUUUCUGUAGUUUCUUCCUUGUGGUAAUAUUAUCGGAAGAAAUUAUGGU